rnacentral:misc_RNA from 1 species
CUGAGUUUUCAAAACUCCAACCCUGUGUAAACCGAAGCCUGGUUGCUCUGGCAGGCGGUCCCUGGGAGGGAUCGCAGCCUCUUCGAGGCGCCUGCCGGAGGAUACCUAAACUCGAAUGUUAAAUGCAGUCUAAGUACUAAGAAAAUGAGUUA